rnacentral:rRNA from 1 species
GGUAGCUUGCUAUCGCGGGGUUGUAGGACCCUUGUAGUGAUCGGUCAGUAAGUAUGUGAAGUUCGCUGGAAAGCGACGCCAUAGUAGGUGAUAGCCCUGUAACUUAAACUGAACGCCGCACGUGGGUAUCCUGAGUAGUGCGGGACACGAGAAAUCCUGUGCGAAUCUGGGAGGACCAUCUUCCAAGGCUAAAUACUCUCUGAUGACCGAUAGCGAAAUAGUACCGCGAGGGAAAUGUGAAAAGAACCCUUACUAAGGGAGUGAAAAUAGAACCUGAAACCGUAUGCUUACAAGCUGUCGGAGCCGCGCUUCGGCGUGGUGACGGCGUGCCUUUUGCAUAAUGAGCCAGCGAGUUACUCGUACGUUGCAAGGUUAAGAAGUCAUCAAGCUUCGUAGCCGUAGCGAAAGCAAGUCUGAAAAUGGGCGAUUAGUAACGUGCGGUAGACGCGAAACCUCAGUGAUCUAGCCAUGGCCAGGUUGAAGUAGGGGUAAAACCCCUAUGGAGGACCGAACCGGUGUAAGUUGAAAGUUGCUCG